CCUACGGGAGGCAGCAGUGGGGAAUUUUGGACAAUGGGCGAAAGCCUGAUCCAGCCAUUCCGCGUGAGUGAAGAAGGCCUUCGGGUUGUAAAGCUCUUUCGCAAGGGAAGAAAACUUAUAUUCUAAUAAAGUAUGAGGAUGACGGUACCUUGAUAAGAAGCACCGGCUAACUACGUGCCAGCAGCCGCGGUAAUACGUAGGGUGCGAGCGUUAAUCGGAAUUACUGGGCGUAAAGCGUGCGCAGGCGGUUUUGAAAGUCAGAUGUGAAAUCCCCGAGCUCAACUUGGGAACUGCGUUUGAAACUCCAAAGCUAGAGUAUAGGAGAGGGGGGUAGAAUUCCACGUGUAGCAGUGAAAUGCGUAGAGAUGUGGAGGAAUACCAAUGGCGAAGGCAGCUCCCUGGCCUAAUACUGACGCUCAUGCACGAAAGCGUGGGGAGCAAACAGGAUUAGAUACCCUGGUAGUCCACGCCCUAAACGAUGUCUACUAGUUGUUGGUGGAGUAAAAUCCAUUAGUAACGCAGCUAACGCGUGAAGUAGACCGCCUGGGGAGUCGGUCGCAAGNUUAAAACUCAAAUGAAAUUGACGGCNGAGAGAGCGACGGACGACGACGAGGGAGGAGG
rnacentral:rRNA from 1 species